UCUCCCCCAUAGAUUUCCAGAUAAAGAAUAUGGGGGGUUAUGUAUGGAGUUUGCCUUGGUAGUACAUUUUGGUGACGCUGCUGAAGGAACCGUUACCUGUGCAGUUCUCAAACCUACCACAUUCACAUUGAUCUCAGGCACGGAGCAGUCAUUCGGCGAUCGGACACGCAGGAGGAAGGUCCUUGCCAUUGCGCUCCAGCGCACAAUGGAGGCAGCGAGUCAGCUCACCCAGCUCUGGCUCUCACGGAAGGGCGUGGAAUACUGAUGAGGCAGCUUCCUUCAUGGACCUUGUAAUGGACAGAACUACCUAAUACCUUAAUUAAUUUAUUCCAAAGAAACAACUUCCCUCAAUAAAACCUAAGUGUUUAAAGAAGAAAAAAAGAAAAAAGACAAUUUUUAAAUGUGUAAAUUUUAUUUUCACACAGAAGCAAAGAAUGUAACAACAAACCUUGCCUCGUGAUAGCAUUGUUACAUGAAGCAGUAGGGAAAAUAAAAAAAAAUUCCAUCCCAAAUGUUACCAAAAGCACAAAUAAAAUGCCUCUUGCCAGAGAGAGUGAGAUUCAUGAUAUGUACACAUACCUUAAAGGGGAAGAUCUCUAAAUAUGUACAUGUAAUACUUCUGGUAAAAAAUAGAAUCUAAAACACAAGUAAAACAAUUUCAUACAUGUGUCAUGGAGUGUCUAUGUUGUUUUGCAAUUAUUUGGCUAUGUCAAAGUUGUAAACCCUUUCCCACUUGUGCAUUUGUUAAUGCAUUAGGGCAAAACUAGAAAAUAAAAGCCAUAAAAACUCACUAAUAAAUCUCUAAAAUAAUAA